GGCCCUUAUGCCCAGGGCGACACACGUGCUACAAUGGCAUAUACAAUGAGACGCAAUACCGCGAGGUGGAGCAAAUCUAUAAAAUAUGUCCCAGUUCGGAUUGUUCUCUGCAACUCGAGAGCAUGAAGCCGGAAUCGCUAGUAAUCGUAGAUCAGCCAUGCUACGGUGAAUACGUUCCCGGGUCUUGUACUCACCGCCCGUCACACCAUGGGAGUUGAUUUCACUCGAAGCCGGAAUACUAAACUAGUUACCGUCCACAGUGGAAUCAGCGACUGGGGUGAAGUCGUAACAAGGUAACCGUAGGAGAACCUGCGGUUGGAUCACCUCCUUUCUAG
rnacentral:rRNA from 1 species